ensembl:lncRNA
CUUUUCUCUGUGGGUCCCAGAGGGGUAGGCAUUUGUUAGACUAGGGUUAGGUUUUUGCCCUAGGAUUACGCCCAGUGUAGGGUGUCCAGGUUUAGCAACUAAAAAUGCAGGACACUCAGUUAAUUUUGAAUUUUUCAUGAGCAAAAAACAACUUCUUAGCAAGUCUCAUGUAAAAUUUGGGACAUGCAUUUAAAAUUUAUUUGUUGUAUAUCUGAAAUUUAGAUUUAACUGGUCAUCCUGUUUUUUUAACUGGCAACUCUGCUAAGUAGACUUACUGAAAGUAUUCUUCCCACCAGAAAGGAGCAGUCAGCACGGAGAGAAUGACAAGAGUCUAGGAAGUCCAAGAGCUUGACGCCAGCUUCUGACGAGAGCCCUGGUGUUGGGUCAUAACAUGGCAGAAGGGCAAGCAAGUAUUGCUGAACAGAAUCAGAGAAAGGGGCCCAGUUCUUCCCUUUUAUCAGCGAUUGCAGCAUGAACCCAUUCGUGACAGUGGAGCUGUCGUGUUCAAGUCAGGAGAAGCUUGCUGCAGUUGGUUUUCCUGAUGCAAACUCCGCUGUUCUCAUUGGAGGAGGAGCUUGGGGUCUCGCUGUUGCUGGAAAUGGCUGCUGUUCUCAUCAGGGGAGCUCUGAUCUUCACCUUGAGCGUCACUUCCUGGCUCCUACGUAGAUCCGUCGGCCUGGUGGCACAAAUCCUUUACCCCAGCAGCGCAGGUUUUCUGGCUUCCACCACUGGCCUUUGGGCCUUCUGGGUGCAGAUCCUUAAUACAGACAAGCAUGAGACAUUACCGAG